rnacentral:rRNA from 1 species
UGGUGGGUUGCCUUGUCAGGUUGAUUCCGGUAACGAACGAGACCUCAGCCUGCUAAAUAGUCAGCAUCGCACCUGCGGUGUGCAGACUUCUUAGAGGGACUAUUGGCGUUCAGCCAAUGGAAGUAUGAGGCGAUAACA